AUGAUGCAAACAGAAAAAUUGAAGUGGGUUGAUAUGGACAUUGACGAUUCCGAAUCUGUGAAUAAGGAUGAAAAUGAAAAUGAGAAUAAGAGUAGACAAAAAUGGGAAGACAUAGAUGCAGAAGAAGAUGUAGAUAAUAACAAAAAACUGUCUUACUUUACCAACUAUGAAAAUGGUGUCAAAAUUAUUACGACAUAUUCGGAAAACUUAAAAAAACAGACUGUAAAAACUACAAAAAAAAUUAAAGAAGUGAUAAUAAAAAGGAAGAUCAAUAAAAAGAUAAAUGAGCGACUUAAUUUAAAACCCUUUAACGUAGAAAACGUAAUAUAUAAGAUACAUGCAUAUACGCACGUAGAUGUACAUA
rnacentral:lncRNA from 1 species